rnacentral:rRNA from 1 species
GUGCCAGCAGCCGCGGUAAUUCCAGCUCCAAUAGCGUAUAUUAAAGUUGUUGUGGUUAAAAAGCUCGUAGUUGAACCUUGGGCCUGGCUGGCCGGUCCGCCUCACCGCGUGCACUGGUCCGGCCGGGCCUUUCCCUCUGUGGAACCCCAUACCCUUCACUGGGCGUGGCGGGGAAACAGGACAUUUACUUUGAAAAAAUUAGAGUGCUCCAGGCAGGCCUAUGCUCGAAUACAUUAGCAUGGAAUAAUAAAAUAGGACGCGCGGUUCUAUUUUGUUGGUUUAUAGGACCGCCGUAAUGAUUAAUAGGGGCAGUCGGGGGCAUCAGUAUUCAACUGUCAGAGGUGAAAUUCUUGGAUCAGUUGAAGACUAACUACUGCGAAAGCAUUUGCCAAGGAUGUUUUCAUUAAUCAGGAACGAAAGUUAGGAGAUCGAAGACGAUCAGAUACCGUCGUAGUCUUAACCAUAAACUAUGCCGACUAGGGAUCGGACGGUGUUAUUCAUGACCCGUUCGGCACCUUACGAGAAAUCAAAGUGCUUGGGCUCCAGGGGGAGUAUGGUCGCAAGGCUGAAGCUUAAAGAAAUUGACGGAAGGGCACCACCAGGGGUGGAGCCUGCGGCUUAAUUUGACUCAACACGGGGAAACUCACCAGGUCCAGACACAAUAAGGAUUGACAGAUUGAGAGCUCUUUCUUGAUUUUGUGGGUGGUGGUGCAUGGCCGUUCUUAGUUGGUGGGGUGACUUGUCUGCUUAAUUUGCGAUAACGAACGAGACCUCAACCUGCUAAAUAGUC